UUCCGGUCCUGUGAGUUAAAAGGGAAUCCAGUGUGAAUCUGGAGCUGACGCGCAGCGGUAAGGAAAGGUGAAAUGAGAGCGUAAAGCAGACACUGCCUGUGGGUGGGAAGUCUUCAUUUCUUUUUAUUCGGUAUCCUGAAUAACCUUCCAAGCCCGAAGACCUGCCGGCUAAC
rnacentral:ncRNA from 1 species